rnacentral:rRNA from 1 species
UCCAGACUCCUACGGGAGGCAGCAGUGGGGAAUCUUCCGCAAUGGGCGCAAGCCUGACCCAGCAACGCCGCGUGAAGGAAGAAGGCUUUCGGGUUGUAAACUUCUUUUAAGAGGGAAGAGAAGAAGACGGUACCUCUUGAAUAAGCCACGGCUAACUACGUGCCAGCAGCCGCGGUAAUACGCAGGUGGCAAGCGUUGUCCGGAUUUACUGGGUGUAAAGGGCGUGCAGCCGGGCUGACAAGUCAGAUGUGAAAUUCCGGGGCUCAACCCCGGACCUGCAUUUGAAACUGUUGGUCUUGAGUAUCGGAGAGGCAGGCGGAAUUCCUAGUGUAGCGGUGAAAUGCGUAGAUAUUAGGAGGAACACCAGUGGCGAAGGCGGCCUGCUGGACGACAACUGACGGUGAGGCGCGAAAGCGUGGGGAGCAAACAGGAUUAGAUACCCCCGUAGG